rnacentral:lncRNA from 1 species
UUGAAUGUUACACAGAAAAAAUACAUAAAUUCUGAGGCUAGAUGAUACCUAUAAUAGGCACAAGAGAAGAGAGAGAAAACUUCAUUGAGCCUUUCAGAGAAAUAAAUUAUAUGAUUUAAAAAAUCUACUAGUGAGCUUGCACAACGCAGGUCUCCACGAUACAUGUUUUUUGAAUUUAAUUUCUCUAUAAGUUAUUUUUAUUACUGUUUUUAUCGUUGAAUCAUUUAAGUAGUUGUCAUUGUGUAGCAAUGCAAAACUUGCACAUGCAACGUAUAAAAUCCACGAGCACAUAAAUAUAUUACAAUUAGAUAGCCAAAUAUUACAACUCGACAGAAAUUAGAAGCAAGAAUUAAUUAAAAUACAAGUACUCCACAAUAUUAUCCACUAUUAUGGUACAGAGAAAUAGAACGAAUCUUGCUGAAAGACCAACAAAAUUUUCAGGUAUAGAAACUCCAUGUUUCCGAAUGGAAGGAAGCAUUAAUACGUACGCGUGAUCUAAGAAAAAGACACAACCAUCCAAAUCCUAAACGCCUUGAGCAGCAACUGCUAGUAGUGUUACCAGUGAAAUUCUCAUGUUGACCUCUGAUGAAGCACCUUUAAGCAUUGCAGCCUGUGUUGGAUUGGUAUGUGUGACAGAUUCUGGUUCAUUUGGACACUGAAUUAUUGGAUAAGUUCAUGCUCUGCAUGCCAGGUGAACACGGAUAACAUUUAGAAAAAAAGGCUGAGAGUAAAAGGCUGAGAGUUUAAGCACCAUCAGUUCCACAUCGAGCAGUGAUACCCAGUUCAGUUCUGCAGCCCUUUCGACUUGUUUUAGCUGUAAAAGUUGAAAGUUCAGUUAUAAGUGGUGUUCUUUGGGUCUUGUCUAAGCCAUGUGCUUCCUUCCGUGGAGAUCAACAAUGUUGAUGCCUCAGUAUGGUGAGCUAAGAGAAAAAAAAACUGUCAGGAUCUAAAAGAAACUUACAUGAAUGAACUCAUGUUCCAAUUUAACGGCGGAUGGAUUGAGGGAGCAUAAUAUGCUCUUUUGCAACAGAAUCUGAUAAUAUGAUAUGGACAACAAUGCGCCUAGUACUCUUUCCAACAGGCAACAGGCACUGAAGUCUGAAGUGCUAAAGAUUAAUAAGUGACUUGACUUCUGAAACCAAGCAAUCAACAAACGGAUGAACAUACUCUUUGAUAUCUAUAAUCAACUUAUGCGGAAAAAAAAUAUCUAAUUUGCUUCCACAUGCUCAAGUCUUAGAAACUCAUGCACACCAAAAAGAAAAUUGGCGCAAAUUUGUGUACAUUGCAAGCAAGCCAGAAAACAAGACAGGAGUCUGAGGCAUACUUCCUUUGAUCAAAUACGCAGUAUUUCUGAACAACAAUAGCGUCCACCGUGAGGAUGAGACAGAAUGGAGGACCUGGUCGCAUGCCUCACCGUGAGGAUGAGACGGCGGCGGACGUUGACUACAUGGCCAUGCCCAUGUUCCUUGAGACCCAGCCCUUGGUUUCGAACGGCUCCAUUGCUACUAUUUCAGCCUCAUCAUCCAUGGUGGCCACGGCGGGGCCCCAUGCAGCAGAUCAGCAGCUCCAAAUCUCCCAUUGCUCCGGCUUCUAAUCAUUCUCCUCCUCCUCUUAUGUAAACCUGCAGGUUUCAGAUUAUAUCACCUUGUAUGAACAAACAUUUUAAGCUACAAUUGUAAACAGUAAACAUGAAGAAGUACAGCAGGUACCCUGUGUAGAGUUUUGCGUCUUCAUAGUUCCAUUUCUGGUUGAGCACCCUCUGAAUUUUCCUUUCACUAUACAAUGACCCUAUCUAUCAUAUCUUGAGUUCUAUGUUGAAAUGUCCUAACCCCUUUGCUUUUACUUCUUCAUAACUACCAAGAGCUCAGGAAGGCAACAAACACUAAUGUAUGUUGGAAGAAAAAAUUACUAAAAAGCAUAACAAGGUAAAACUGAAUACUACUCUUUCCACCGUUGAAUAGAGUGGACCUUCAGAAGUAAUCACAUCCAGGUGCCUUCUGUUUGCAGAAACGAAGCUAUAAGGUAAGAUAAUUAACAACCAGACCCAUUCCAUAUGAAAGUCGCUCACCGAAAUCACUUCACAGAAGAGCUUUCCCACCAUGUACAUAAUUAGAGCAUUGGAAUGUUUUACAAAAUAUAUGAGACGGAGGGAGUAUUAUUUUCGUUUUGUUUGUCUACUCAUCGUCACAGAUCUAUCUAGGAUACCGAUGGACAUUCAUUCACACAUCACAAACUUACUGGCAAUAGCUGAUGGCUCAGCACUUUGAAAUGUCAAAUGAUUACUUGGAGUGCGCAGGGUACCUGAAAAGUUCUCAAAACUGUUGUUCAUACCUGCAGAGAAGGUGGAGGACGACUUGGACUCCAGAAUCGUACGGGACUAUGGUGGCGCCAUGGAUUGGGGGAUGGGGAGACACCGGAGCAAGAGCCCGGGCAGCGUGUGGAGCAGAUGGGGUGGAGCGUGAUGGAUCUGGAGGGCUGGGGGCGCCAGAGAAAGAGGGUGAGUGGCGCCAGAGGAAGGGUCGGCGGUGGCUAGCGGAGAUGGAUUGUGGUAGGGAAGGGAAUACUCGAUGCUCCUUCUCUAGGUGCAGGAGGAUGGUGGGCACCGGAGAAGGAGGGUGGGGCGGUGCCAGAGGUGGGAACAACGGUGGUGAUGGGCAUAGGGGAAAUCCAGACCUCCUUGACCAGCACCAACCACCACGCAGCACCCCGCCGAGAUAUCCACGUCCAGCAGCGCCUUCAGGCAGUUGAGGGAACCCAUGGCCGAGGGGUUGUGAACCCUGAAAAGCCAGCCAUCGAAAC